rnacentral:lncRNA from 1 species
AAAAAUAAAAAAAAUCCCUGCCCGCAAUAAAAAGAAGCAGCUUUGCUUCCCCGCCCUCCCCCUGCCCCCUGCUUUUUUUUUUUUUUUUCCUGCCCCUAAACGAGCCGAAAAGGGAGCGAAGGCUGCGGGGUGGCCGUGCCCACCAUCGAUUUUUCGUGGAAGGAGCCCAGAAAGGGCGGUGAUGGAGCACGGGGCCGCGAGCCCCCGGCCCCAGCAGCCGGCAGCGGGGAGCUGAACCGGAGCCGGGGGGAGCAUCGCUGCUGGUUGGGGCUCUGCUCGGCCAGAAAAAUCCAAGGGAGGAGGAAAAUCGAGGUGGAGGAGAGGAAGAAGAAGGGCCGAAGGGCUCGGGCGAAGCAGCCAUUAGGAAAGUGCUGAUGCAGAGGUUCACUUGUGUCUACGGGCAGAGUUGGAGGAGUUGCUGUUCGCGGACAAAGGCGGUAGGAGGGAGUGGAGCUUUGUAGAAGCCGGAGCCUGUCUCGCUGGGUGUCUGCGUUUCAUUCCCUGUCAAGCGGCUGGGGAAAAGCAGGGAAGCGCCGAGCUGCAGCGCUCGCUCAGGAUCAGAUAGCGAGGAAACCAAUAGCAGAGGGAACCAAAAAAAAAAAAGAGAGAAAGAAAAAAAAAAAAAAAGAAACAACAAACCACCGAGCAAGCAAGCAACCCACCCUCCACGCUGAGACUGAAGCAGGCAGGUCCCUGCCAACUACACAGCACGCAUCCAGCAGCGAAGAAGUCUUCCCUCCCCGGGCAGGAGCGGAGUUGAGCCCGAAGGAUAUUUGAUGACACUUUUGCAGCGAUGGGGCCCCCAGCAUCUUCCAGAGCCCAUUUGAGGGUGAAGCCUCUGAAAGCGCAGAGGGAGUUUGAAGCUAAAUUCACCUGAGUCUGGAUCUCUUGGCCGCUGGGAUUUAUCUCUAUCUAUCUAUUUUUAUUUUUCUCCAGGGAAACCAACCAAACAAAAAAAAACCGUGUUUUGUUGUUUGUUUGUUUUUAAGCUCUUUUUUUUUUUUUUUCUUUUGGAAGAAGAUCUUUAUUUUUUUAUUUUUAUUUUUUUUCGUGUGGUUGCAAUGGAGGGCUUGGGUCUGUGCCUACGAAGCGGCAGCCGAAUGCUGGUCCUGGGAGAAACCGGCGCGGACGCGGGGUCCCUCGCCAGCUAACUCCGCAGGACCCGGGGCCGGGGGGCUCGAUGCAGUGAGAGAGCCUCUCACGGGAUCCGCGUGGUGACGUGGCCGCCAAGACGUGGAAGCUUGGGACUUCUCUUCCACCGCAACAGAAUUUGGGGGGUGGGCAGGGGUGGGCUAGGGGGACGCCAGGAGUCGCUGAGACCCUUCACCUUC